rnacentral:tRNA from 4 species
AUUUAUAUAGUUUAAAAAAAACAUUACAUUUUCACUGUAAAAAUAAAAAUUUAUUUUUUAUAAAUA